GGCUGGUAUUUAUGUCACUUGCAGAUGGUUUGGGUAAAUUACACGAUGUUCCUGCAGCCCUGUUGAGGCUUUCUCCGCUCCCUUUGAUCCAUGGACUUCCUGUGGCUCCUGCACAUGUGCAGAACUUCAGGGCACUGGUGUCUCCAGCCCCUCUUCCAGUGAUGCAUGUGAAGGCUGGGUCACAGGCCACACCCAGGAGACUGCCAAUGGAGAGCCAUG